rnacentral:lncRNA from 1 species
GUGUUUCUGUUCCUGUGGAGUGCAGCUGAAAUGACCGCUACUGCUCCUUCACAGUAUAUUUACAUGAGCUUCCUGUGGACAUCAGCACCAUUUAAAAUUAAGGGCCUCAUUCUCUCAUCCAGGCUGGACUGCAGUGGCGUGAUCUCAGCUCACUGCAACUUCUGCCUCCCGAGCUCAAGUGAUCCUUCCACCUCGGCCUCCCCAGUACCCAAGACUACAGGCACACACCACCACGCCUGGCUAAUUUUUGUAUUUUUUGUAGAGAUGGGGUUGCAUCAUGUUGCCCAGGCUGGUCUUGAACUCCUAAGCUCAAGCAGUCUGCCCUGCCUUGGCCUCCCAAAGUGCUGGGAUUACAGGCUGGAACACAGAUGUGGGGCUGGAAGUGGAGCAGCCCCUUUUAGCCAUGAGGCCCAAAGCCACAUGCUAAGGAUGGUGAAGCAGGGGAUAGAAAGAGCCUGUGUCUUUGCUGACUUCCUUAAGCCACGGCACCAGCCUGGGCCUGCCCUACUCUGGACAUCUAAAUGUCAGGAGCUAAGAAUCAAGUCAGUCUAGAGGUGUUCGUUGCCAUGUGGAGAGAUCCUUCCCAAGAAGAAAGAUGCUACAAAGUGUCCUGGAAAUCCUCUUUGCCCAUCCAGAUCCACCCUCCCUAGCCUGCUCUGUACCUCAGGAAGCUGCUUUUCAUGGUUCACAUAAACCAGGCUCCUGUACCCUCCAGAUAGGUCCAUCCUAUGGGUGGUACCAGCAGGAGACCAGAGAGAUGAAGGAGGGAAAAAAAGAACAUUAGGGGUUGAAUUGUAUCACCCCAAAAUUCAUAUGGUGAAGUAUAACCCCUUCGGAAUGUAACCUUAUUGGAAAUGUCAGAGGCACGUGAACCAGAGCAACUCCAUCUUGAAUAGGGGCUGGGUAAAAUGAGGCUGAGACCUAUUGGGCUGCAUUCCCAGACGGUUAAGGCAUUCCAAGUCACAGGAUGAGAUAGGAGGUUGGCACAACAUAUAGGUCAUAAAGACCUUGCUGAUGAAACAGUUGCAGUAAAGAAGCCAGUCAAAGCGCACCAAAACCAAGAUGGCGACAAGAGUGACCUCUGGGCAUCCUCACUGCUACACUCCCAGCAGCACCAUGACAGUUUACAAAUGCCAUGGCAACAUCAGAAAGUUACCCUAGAUCAUCUAAACAUGGGAGGCAUGAAUAAUCCACCCCUUGCUUAGCAUAUACUCAAGAAAUAACCAUAAAAAUGGGCAGCCAGCAGCCCUCGGGGCUGCUCUGUUUAUGGAGUAGGCAUUCUUUUAUUCCUGCACUUUCCUAAUAAACUUGCUUUCACUUUA